GCGCGAACCCGCUCUUCGGAGCGGUAGUAGAGCGGCGAACGGGUGAGUAACACGUGAGUAACCUGCCCCCGGAUCCGGUAUAGCCCCGGGAAACCGGGAUUAAUACCGGAUGUGGCUUUUCCCCCGCAUGGGGGAAGAGUUAAAGGGUUAUGUACCGUCCGGGGAUGGGCUCGCGGCCCAUUAGCUUGUUGGUGAGGUAACGGCUCACCAAGGCAGAGACGGGUAGCUGGUCUGAGAGGAUGAUCAGUCACACUGGCACUGAGACACUGGCCAGACUCCUACGGGAGGCUGCAGUCGAGAAUCUUCGGCAAUGGGCGCAAGCCUGACCGAGCGAUGCCGCGUGGGUGAAGAAGGCCUUCGGGUCGUAAAACCCUGUCACCCGGGACGAAGCCUGACGCUACCGGGAGAGGAAGCCACGGCUAACUACGUGCCAGCAGCCGCGGUAACACGUAGGUGGCGAGCGUUAUUCGGAAUUACUGGGCGUAAAGGGUCCGCAGGGGGUUUGCCAAGUCUGCUGUGAAAGCCCGCGGCUCAACCGCGGAAGUGCAGUGGAAACUGGUGAACUGGAGUGCACGAGAGGAGAGCGGAAUUCCCGGUGUAGCGGUGGAAUGCGUAGAUAUCGGGAAGAACACCGACGGCGAAGGCAGCUCUCUGGCGUGUCACUGACCCUCAGGGACGAAAGCGUGGGUAGCGAACAGGAUUAGAUACCCUGGUAGUCCACGCCGUAAACGGUGUGCACUCGAUGCGGGCGGCAGCCCCGUCCGUGUCCAAGCCAACGCGUUAAGUGCACCGCCUGGGGACUACGGCGCAAGGCUAAAACUCAAAGGAAUUGACGGGGCCCGCACAACCGGGGAGCAUGUGGCUCAUUCGAGGCACGCGGAAGACCUACCCGGGUUGAAUUUAUCUGCCCGCCUGUGAAGCAGCUUCUCUUCGAAACAGAUAUACAGUGCUGCAUGGCUUCGUCACUCCG
rnacentral:rRNA from 1 species